UCCUACGGGAGGCAGCAGUGGGGGAUAUUGCCCAGUUGUGGAAACCCUGAUGCAGCGACGCCGCGUGGGUGAAGAAGCGCCUCGGCGCGUAAAGCCCUUUCAGCAGGGAAGAAAAUGACGGUACCUGAAGAAGAAGCCCCGGCUAACUACGUGCCAGCAGCCGCGGUAAUACGUAGGGGGCAAGCGUUAUCCGGAUUUACUGGGUGUAAAGGGGGCGCAGACGGCGAUGCAAGCAAGGAGGGAAAGCCCGGGGCCAAACCCCGGGACUGCUCUUGGAACUGCGUGGCUGGAGUGCAGGAGGGGCG
rnacentral:rRNA from 1 species